ensembl:snRNA U2 U2 spliceosomal RNA
CAAGCUUCUCGGCCUUUUGGCUAAGAUCAAGUGUAGUAUCUGUUCAGUAUCUGUUCUUAUCAGUUUAAUAUCUGAUACGUCCUCGAUAUGAGGACUACAUAUUAGUCCACGCAUUACUCCACGCAACGACAUGGUAUUGCAGUACCUCCGGGCAUGGUGCACCUCCU